UGGGGAAUUUUGGACAAUGGGCGAAAGCCUGAUCCAGCCAUGCCGCGUGAGUGAAGAAGGCCUUCGGGUUGUAAAGCUCUUUUAGUCGGAAAGAAAGAGUUGCAAUGAAUAAUUGUGAUUUAUGACGGUACCGACAGAAAAAGCACCGGCUAACUACGUGCCAGCAGCCGCGGUAAUACGUAGGGUGCGAGCGUUAAUCGGAAUUACUGGGCGUAAAGGGUGCGCAGGCGGUCUUGCAAGUCAGAUGUGAAAGCCCCGGGCUUAACCUGGGAAUUGCGUUUGAAACUACAAGACUAGAGUGCAGCAGAUGUCAGUGGAAUUCCAUGUGUAGCAGUGAAAUGCGUAGAGAUGUGGAAGAACACCGAUGGCGAAGGCAGCUCCCUGGGUUGACACUGACGCUCAUGCACGAAAGCGUGGGGAGCAAACA
rnacentral:rRNA from 1 species